UUUUUAUGGCUGAGUAGUACUCCAUUGUGUAUAUAUACCACAUCUUCUUGGGUGUCAUAGAAUGUCUUUGGGAGUGUUCCUUCUUCUUCAACCUUUUGGAAAAGUUUAAGGAGGUUGGGUAUAAGUUCCUCUUUGUAGGUUUGAGAGAAUUCACCUGUGAAACCAUCCGGUCCUGGACUUUUAUUUGUAGGGAGUGUUUUUAUGAUCUUCACAAUUUUCUAAGUCUCUUUCAGUGCCUGUGAUUAACUGGGAAUGGCAGUGCCCUCCUAACACAGUGCCCUGUGCCCAGAACCUUUGUUUCUACACUAUUUGCCUGUGUGCUCAACCAGCUGCCUCCAGGAGCUUCUAGUUUUAGAGGGAUUUGGCAGACAGAAAUUCCUAUAAUCCUGAUGUCCCCACAAAUAUUGAAGCAUAUGUUGAGUUUGAAAUGUACAGUUUCCCAAUCUCAUAUUUGAGAAGUGGAUAUUAACUUAAUGACACAGGGAUACAAAUUAUAUUCAGGUUUGUUUUUGUUUUUGUUUUUGUUUUUUGGUCUUCAAUCCUGCCAAAUGUAUUUUUGGGAAAAGCAAUGAUUCUCAAGUCCUGGCUUUCCUGAACAGAAUUUGUAUUUAAAUGGCAAAUGCUUUAAUAUUAGUGUUUCUCUUCCAGUCCUUUUAGUUUCCGAAUAUUUUCAUUCAUGGUAAAUAUGGACAGAUUCCUGUUAGUGGCAAAAUUGCAAAAUAGAGAACAGAUUUUCCCAGGAUGUUUAUACUUAUAUUCUUUUGGGGGAAGGGGACUGUGCCAUGGCAUGUGGAAUUUCCCAGGCCAGGAAUCAAAACCAUGCCACAGCAGAGACCCAAACCGUAGCAGUGACAAUGCUUGAUCCGGUAAGCCACUAAGGGACUCCUCCCAGGGUGUUUUAAGGGACUCUUUUACCUAAACAAACAGGGAUGAAGAAAAAGUAUUCUUCUAGGGGUUUUACGGUUUCAUUUGACUACAUCAGAGGUGUUAACUGAUUGAUUCAGACCAGUCAUCCAGCCAGUUGUGGUGACUUCCCAAAGCUAUGUUGAGGAGAUAGAACUAUCCAUUUUCACUCCCCCUCAUCUUCCCACCAAAGAGAGGUACUGGAGAAGUUGAUAAGCUAUUUGUGACAUCUAGCCACAAGUCUUACUCUCUUCCCUUUGCUAACAAAUCCCUUCCUGUGUCAGAGAACAGACAUAAAUACAGAUAUGUAGGCCUAGUGAGGACCAGCCAGGUGCAAGAAAAAAACAUUGGGGGUAAUCAGAAGUCAAUUAGGAUGCCCUACUCUACCUGCUAGAGGAUGGCCUAUUGGGCUAUUUGAGAGAAAGAUGGGGUGACUUCUUGAAGAGAUCUUGCAAUGUUAGAGCUGGAACUCUUAUUACUUUCAUACCCUCCCUCUCUCCAGAAAGGAGAGCACUUGCCACGUUUCCCCGUAAAGAGGAUCCCCAGAGAAGAUCCUAUGAGAUCAGGGGAACGCCUGAACAUAGGGACUGACCAAGUGACAGAACCCACUGGCACAUCUGGGACUUCCAGGGCACAGGCAGAAGACACAGAGGGCUUUGGACAGACAGAUGGCAUCAGAAAGGGACAAGUUAGGAGAGGCCACAAAUCACCUCUCAGUUUUCCAUGGAGUCAGGAUGCUUAUAAUGGGGCGUCUAAGCUUCCUGGGCCCCAGAGGUCCCAUAAGAUGAUUGGAAGCACAAGUUAGCUUGCUAAGCAAACCCCUGUUCCCUGGACAUGCAGGCAGCAAAGGAACCAGUACAAAUCUUAGUCCCAGGCAAGAGGGACUCAAGUUCUGGGCUCCAUGCUUGAGAGCACUCUGCAAAUCACCAACAAAUGCAUUUGCCAAAAACUCAUAAUGCUUCUGUCACCAGGGAUCUGAGAUCAGAACUGGAACAGAUCAACCUACAUACAACCCCAAACAUUUACUCCCUGACUGACAAUUUUCAGACUCCAGAAAAGCUUCUCCACUCUCUCAGACCCUCUGAACAAAAGGCAGUUGUGUACAAAACCCUGAAGGUUUGUGGGCUGUGCUUCUGCAGAAGCUGCUUGGGAGUGUGGGAAAAAAGACUAAUUUAUAAACUCUUCCUCUCAAACAGUGUGAAUGCAGAAGUUUCCUUUAUAAUGAAAUAUUGGUUUCCUCAUAGUGCCAACUGUCCAUUUUCUUUUUCUCUUCAUGUUUUACUUUGUGCUUCCAGAGGUGCUCAUGAAUUUGCGCACUGUUUUCAACAGUUAACCUGAUAGCUGAGAAACAAUUGUAGUAUUGUUCAUAUUAUUUUUAAAUGUGGAUAUAUAUAGUUGUAAAAUGCAUGAAGCAUGAUUCCUUUCCUUUAUACUGGCAAUUUCCUGGGCAUUAAAUUCUAGAAUUACAAAUUGCCUUACUUUUGUAAAAAAUGUUUAAUAAGAUUUAAUUUAAAGAUUUAAACAAUUUUAAAUUUCAGUUUUAAUGAAAUCAUUUUGACCUUAAAAUUUUAUGAAAAAAUGGAUUGGUAUUCAUCAUAAUUUGUAGUUUAUCUCUCAGUUUUAAUAAUUUUAAAUAUUUUAAAAGAAAUCUUACUUAUUUUAAGACUAGGAAAAAUAGUUUUUUUCUUCACAUCUACUUUAAAUUUUCAUAAAAAUUCAUCCAAAUUUAUCUGCUUUAAAUGUAAUUACAUUUUAUUUUUAAAUCCAUUUGAUCAUUAUUAACACAUGAAUACAAGUUAUAUGUGAAAAUUUUGAUUAUAUCAACAUAAUUACUUAAAAUGAGGGCCAAAAAAUUUAGAUUCCAAGAAACAAAUAUAUACUGAUUUCUGAAUUAUUACUCAUCUACACAUUGCCCACCCAUCAAGAGAAUGCCCAGGCAUGUGAAAGUUUGGGUGGGCAGAAAGGAAUUCUGCCAGCAGAGGCUCAUGGCUGACCACCACUCAAGGUGAGGCAGAAGUGAAUCUCAGGAUGCCAGGAGCAUACAAGGAUUCCUGGGCCAUCAGGAGCACAUCCACAACCAGACUGGGAGAUGACAUGAACACCUAGAAGCAGCAGAGAAUUGACUAUUACCAGCUAUUCAUUUUCCUGCCCAUUGGCCUGUAGCAGUUAGCUCUUCCUUAUCUUCCCAUCUCCCUGAUGUCUUCACAAAAGUCAAGCAAGAGAUUCCGUUUCAGGAAUUGCGGUAAGACUUGGGACUGAAGGCAGUUUGGAGAAAAUUUUGAACUGGAUAGUGAUUGAAAUAACAAUACCUAAACUUGACUAUAGAUAUACUAAAUUAGAUGGAUGCUUACCUGAUGGUACUAAAUUUUUUUUUCCUGCUAUAGAACAGAAAUGGGGUCUUGUAAAAGGAAAAUGGGCACCGAUACAAAAAUUAAGGGAGUUUCAUAUUUGCCAAAAUGUGAUUUGUACUUUUCCAGUGCAUACCUGCUACUAGCAGCACCUUAUCAGUGAAUAGGGUAGAGAUCAGCAGAGGUAGAAAGAUGGUAUUAUUGAUUUUUUUGGCUUGACACAAUAAUUUGUCACCCUAGCUAUAAAGUAGAACUACCUAAAGGCUUCAAACAUAUGCCAGUUUCCUUGCUUCACCUCAGACUAAUUGAAUCUGAAUUGUAUGUAAGGCUUCGUAUCUAUAUGUUAUAAAUAUAUUAAAAAAUCAAGUGAUUCUAAUAAGUGGCCAAGGUUGUAACUCACAGGGCAGGUGUUCACCUGGUCAGCUUUAUAUCUGUUACCAGUUCCUUUCAGAUUCACCAGUUAAUGCUGCAUUGUUUCUUCUCUCCCUGUCUGUGUUGUCAUGGUCCAAGAUCCUGCCAACUGAUUAGGUGCCUUGCACAAUAGCUAGUUUACUGAGACGUGUGUGAAGCCACAGCAAUGAUCUCGGAAAUAAGCCCAUGUCAAAGCCAAUUAGUCUCACUGUUUCUAUUUUAAUGAAGCAGAUCAAUUAAGAAGGAUGCUCUGGAAAAUUCCUGGGCCUGCCAGGCCAGCAGUCCUUCAGUAUUAUGUGACUGGGCACUAAAUUCAUUCAUUUGUUCAUUCAACAAGCAUAUAUUGAGCACCAACUAUAUGCUAGACCUUGGAUGAAAUGGUGAAUAAAGAUACAUCUCAACUUUCGAAGAACACAGAUUUUUAUUUGUCAACUCAGAAAUCAAUUAUUUCUCUGCCACCUGGAGUUCACCUGUUCUUAGUCUCCAAAUUUACUGCUCCUUUCUAGACUGUGGAAUUAGAUAGGCCUGUAUUUUUUAGUUGAUAGAGUCAUCAAUUUUUAAUUUUACAACGUAAAAAGGAAAAUAAAAUAGGAGUCUUUUUAAUACAAAAAAAAAACUUAGCAAGUAUAUCAUCUCAGCAUAAGGAAUUGUCAUUUAAAUGAAAUAAAUUUAGCUUCAUGAAAAUCUCUACAGUAUUUUUUUCUCAAUUUGCUGCCUCCCAACAACCUCCUUCUAUUGUAAGAUUUGCUUAAAUCCAAAUUACUGAAUAUAGGUGCAGGAGUUUAUUUCUGAACUUGCUUUCUUUUUUCUUUUCUCUUUUUUUUUUAGUGAUUUUUAUUUUUCUCCACUAUAGCUGGUUUACAGUGUUCUAUCAAUUUUCUACUGUGCAGCAAGGUGGCCCAGUCACACAUACAUACAUGCAUUCUUUUUCUCACAUUAUCAUGCUUCAUCCUAGAUAUAGUCCCCAGUGCUAUAGAGCAGGAUCUCAUUGCUUAUCCAUUCUAAAAGCAAUAGUUUGCCUCUAUUAACUCCAAAUUCCUAGUCCCUCUCCCUCCCUUCCCCUCCCCCUUAGCAACCACAAGUCUGUUCUCUAAGUCCAUGAGUUUCUUUUCUGUGGAAAGGCUUAUUUGUGCCAUAUAUUAGAUUCCAGAUAUAAGUGAUACCAAAUGGUAUUUGUCUUUCUCUUUCUGGCUUACUUCACUUAGUAUGAGGGUCUCUAGUUCCAUCCACGUUGCUGAAAAUGGCAUUAUUUCAUUCUUUUUAAUGGCUAAGUAGUAUCCUGUUGUGUAUAUAUACCACAUCUUCUUAAUCCAUUCAUCUGUUGAUGGAUGUUUAGGUUGUUUCCAUGUCUUGACUAUUGUGAAUAGUGCUGCAAUGAACAUAUGGGUGCAUGUGUCUUUUUCAAGGGAAGUUUUGUCUGGAUAUAUGUAUUUCUGGGCUUUCUAUCUUGUUCCAUUGAUCUAUGUUUCCGCUUUUGUGUCAGUAUACUAAUGUUUUGUUUACUGUAGCUUUGUAGUAUAUUCCUAAAUCAGGGAGCCUACUUCUCCAAUUCCAUUUUUCUUUCUCAAGAUUGCUUAGCUAUUUGGGAUCUUUUGUGUUUCCAUGCAAAUUUUUAAAAUUUUUGCUCUAGUUCUGUGAAAAAUGCCAUUUGUAAAUUGAUAGAAGUUGUCUUGAAUCUGUAUAUUGUCUUGGACAGUAUAGUCAUUUUGACAAUAUUCAUUCUUCCAAUCCAAGAGCAUGGUAUAUCUUUCCAUCUGUUUGUGUCAUCUUUGAUUUCUUUCUUCUUUUCCAAUUUGGAUUCCUUUUAUUUCUUUUUCUUCUAUGCUGUAUCUGGGACUUCCAAAACUAUGUUUAAUAAAAGUUAUGAGGGUGGACCUCCUUGUCUUAUUCCUGAUUUUAGAGGAUAUGCUUCCAGCUUUUCACCAUUGAGUAUGAUGUUAGCUGUGUCCUUGUUAUAUAUAGCCCUUACUAUGUUGAGACAUGUUUCCUCUAUGCCAACUUUCUGGAGAAUUUUUUUUUUAUCAUAAAUAGAUGUUGAAUUUUAUUAAAGCUUUUUCCUGUAUCUAUUGAGAUGAUUGUGUGUUUUUUAUUAUGUUAUUUUAUUUGUCUUUUUGCAUUUUUAGGGGUGCAUCCAUGGCAUAUUGAGGUUCCCAGGCUAGGGGUCAAAUCAGAGCUGUAACUGCUAGCCUCUGCCACAGCCACAGCCAUGACCGAUCCAAGCCAUGUCUGCAACCUACACCACAGCUCAUGGCAAUGAGUAAGGCUGGGGAUCAAACCUGUGUCUUCAUGGAUCCUAGUCAGAUUUGUUUCCACUGAGCCAUGACAGGAACUCCUGGUUUUUAUUCUUCAAUUUGUUAAUGUGGUGUAUCACUCUGAUUGAUUUGCAGAUUUGAAAAAUCCUUGUAUCCCUGGAAUAAAUCUCACUUGAUCAUGGCAUAUAAUCCUUUUAAUGUAUUAUUGGAUUCAGAUUACUAGUAUUUCUGAGGAUUUUUGCAUCAGUGUUUACUGGUGAUAUUAGCCUAUAAUUUUCUUUGUGUGUAUGUGUAUGUGUGUGUGUGGUAUCUUUGGUUUUGUUAUCAGGGUGAUGGUGGCCUCAUUUAAUAACUUUGGAAGUGUCCCUUCCUCUGCAAAAGGAAUAAUUUCAGAAGAAUAAAUGAUAACCCUUCUCUAAAUGUUUGAUAGGCUUUAACUAUGAAGCCAUUUGGUCCUGGAUUUUUGUUUGUUGGGAGUUUUCAACAUUGCUAACUAUUAGAGAAAUGCAAUUCAGAACUACAAUGAGCUAUCACCUCACACCAGUCAGAAUAGCCAUUAUUAAAAAGUCUACAAAUAAUAAAUGCUGGCAAGGGUGAGGAGAAAAAGGAAGCCUCCUAUGCUGUUGGUGGGAAUGUAAAUCGGUAUAGCCACUAUGGAGAACAGUAUGGAGGUUAUUUAAGAAACUAAAAGUAGAGGCACCAGGAGUUCCUGUCGUGGCGCAGUGUGGUUAACGAAUCCGACUAGGAACCAUGAGGUUGCGGGUUCGGUCCCUGCCCUUGCUCAGUGGGUUAACGAUCUUGUGUUGCCGUGAGCUGUGGUGUAGGUUGCAGAUGUGGCUCGGAUCCCACGUUGCUGUGGCUCUGGUGUAGGCCAGAGGCUACAGCUCCGAUCUGACCCCUAGCCUGGGAACCUCCAUAUGCCAUGGGAGCGGCCCAAGAAAUAGCAAAAAGACAAAAAAAAAAAAAAAAA
rnacentral:lncRNA from 1 species